rnacentral:rRNA from 1 species
CCUGAAACCGUGUACGUACAAGCAGUGGGAGCACAGGUUUACCUGUGUGACUGCGUACCUUUUGUAUAAUGGGUCAGCGACUUAUAUUCUGUAGCAAGGUUAACCGAAUAGGGGAGCCGUAGGGAAAUGAAUACGUACCCAUAACGCCCAGCCCGCCAGCAGCAUAUAUAUCGGGGCAACGCACAGCGAGGCGCUAAUCAUGCCGCGUAGUACGCGCGGAUAGGGUAAUACGCGCUUUUGCGGUUCAUUGACAA